CCCUGGCCUUGACAUACUAAGAACUUUCCAGAGAUGGAUUGGUGCCUUCGGGAACUUAGAUACAGGUGCUGCAUGGCUGUCGUCAGCUCGUGUCGUGAGAUGUUGGGUUAAGUCCGCAACGAGCGCAACCCUUUUCCUUAUUUGCCAGCGGGUAAUGCCGGGAACUUUAAGGAUACUGCCAGUGACAAACUGGAGGAAGGCGGGGACGACGUCAAGUCAUCAUGGCCCUUACGGCCAGGGCUACACACGUGCUACAAUGGUCGGUACAAAGGGUUGCUACCUCGCGAGAGGAUGCUAAUCUCAAAAAGCCGAUCGUAGUCCGGAUCGCAGUCUGCAACUCGACUGCGUGAAGUCGGAAUCGCUAGUAAUCGCGGAUCAGAAUGCCGCGGUGAAUACGUUCCCGGGCCUUGUACACACCGCCCGUCACACCAUGGGAGUUUGUUGCACCAGAAGUAGGUAGUCUAACCGCAAGGAGGACGCUUACCACGGUGUGGCCGAUGACUGGGGUGAAGUCGUAACAAGGUAGGCGUAGAUGA
rnacentral:rRNA from 1 species